rnacentral:rRNA from 1 species
GAUCCUGGCUCAGAUUGAACGCUGGCGGCAGGCCUAACACAUGCAAGUCGAGCGGUAGAGAGAAGCUUGCUUCUCUUGAGAGCGGCGGACGGGUGAGUAAUGCCUAGGAAUCUGCCUAGUGGUGGGGGAUAACGUUCGGAAACGGACGCUAAUACCGCAUACGUCCUACGGGAGAAAGCGGGGGAUCUUCGGACCUCGCGCCAUUAGAUGAGCCUAGGUCGGAUUAGCUAGUUGGUGAGGUAAUGG